UGGGGAAUAUUGCACAAUGGGGGAAACCCUGAUGCAGCAACGCCGCGUGAGUGACGAAGGCCUUCGGGUUGUAAAACUCUGUCUUAGCUGACGAUAAUGACGGUAAGCUAGGAGGAAGCCACGGCUAACUACGUGCCAGCAGCCGCGGUAAUACGUAGGUGGCGAGCGUUGUCCGGAUUUACUGGGCGUAAAGGGAGCGUAGGCGGUUUUUUAAGUGGGGUGUGAAAUCCCUGGGCUUAACCCAGGAAUUGCAUUCCAAACUGGAAGACUAGAGUGCAGGAGAGGAAAGUGGAAUUCCAAGUGUAGCGGUGAAAUGCGUAGAGAUUUGGAGGAACACCAGUGGCGAAGGCGACUUUCUGGACUGUAACUGACGCUGAGGCUCGAGAGCGUGGGGAGCAAACA
rnacentral:rRNA from 2 species